AAUACACUGGGGGACAGGUUUGAGGGACAUUAAGAAAUGGAACAGGGAGAUGUUUAGCCAAGUCUUUCAACUGCGGGGAUGAGAGCCCAAUUCAAACAGGCUGGGCCACCAUGAACGGAUCAGAGAUUGAAUGUGGAGAAUUCAGCCAUUUCUGUGUCAGCCUGAUUUUCUCCCGGUCUCUCUCUCACUCCCAUCCUCCCUGCUCACCUCACCGUGAGGCAGUCCUUUCCAGUAUCAGUCAAGGGCUCGGCCUGAUACUUGACUUACUGAACAAGCUUCAAGCUAUUCCCGGCCCUCAGUACCCUCCGUUCUCUGCCUCUUGGCCAUCAUGAGCGAGAACCUCUCCUGUUACAGAAUUCUGUCCGAGUGGACAGAGCCAAGUAACCAUGGGGCGAACCCUCUCGAACCAGGGAUCAGCACUAAGUCUGUCCUGAUUCAAGUUGUUCUUUCAGGGUUGCCAUUAAAAAGUGAGGCAGGACUGAGGACUUAAAUGAACAAAAUCUAUCUUCUCUUGGCUCUGAAGACUGGAAGUUGGUGAUUGAGGCAAUGGCAGGAUCAAGAUGUGAACUCAGAGCCAUUCCUACUACCACUCCUGUGCUCUGCCAUCAUGGAUUCUAACCCGUGCAAUGGUAAGCCCAAUUAAAUGUUUUCUUUUAUAGUCGUCUUGGUCACGGUGUUUUGUCACAGCAAUAGGAAGAUAACUAAUGCAAUUAUCUAUAAACUAAGUUGCUCUGGGCCAUUGUUUAUCACAGCAAUAGGAAGCAAACUAGGCCACCAUGCAACUUGGAUCGUUCUCUGUGGAACUGUGGAGGUUGUAUAGGGUUCAGACUGAGCGUGAAGCUGCAAAGGAUCUAUUGGGUGGACAUGGGUAGGAAUUCCUUCUGGAAAACCUUAUUUGGGGCUACCCAGAGCCUCUGAGUAUUUGGAAAUUUGGGUUAAUGUUUUUGUGUCUUGGGAUGGUUAUGGUACACAGGGAUGCUAAAUUGUAUCAUGAAUAACCAGCCUUGUUCCACACAAAGCAUGAAGAGGCUCCUCUUCAAACAGUGUCCAAUUUGAAGUAGGAUCUUUGUGUUACAGAGGGUGUGCAUCUGUGAGUCUAAUUAGGGGCUGACAGCUUGCUCUCCAGUGCCAAGUGCCACAGCUGAAGUGCCUGUUUGCCGUGACUCCCUGCCAAAUGCCACCGUCAGCCUUCAGAUUUCUGCUGCUCCGUUGGGUAUAAAAUGCUGUCUCACAGUGCUCCAGGCCUGUGGGAUUUGAUUGUAGUAGUGAUGUAGGAAACUUGUCCAUCUUUCUGCGGUUCAUGUCCCUCCAUAGGAAGGCAUCCGUUCUCCACUGAGUAAUUUGAAAUUUCCCCUUUGAUGGUGGAGCUCUGCUAGAGAUUUGGGUUGCCAGUGUUCUCCACCAGUGUGGCAUUGUUUCUGCUUUAUGCUAUCAUCUCACACGGAAGCACACUGGCUUUUUUUUUUUUUUUUUUUUUACAUUCCUAAUUUAUAAAAUUUACUUUGAAAUCAUAAGGAUAAUCUCCAUUUUCUCACUUUAGGGUUUUACAUUUUUUCCUACAUUUUAUGUAGCUUUUUGAUCUUCCUCAUAGAUUGGUUUUGGCAUAAAGUGUGAAUGAGGAAUCUUACCAUGUUUUUCUUGAGUUGAAUCAGUUGUAGUAACACCAUUUCCUUUUGAUAUUCUCUGUUUCCCCCCCUUUUGAAUUCCAAUAUAUCCUAUGUGCAUUGUGUGUGUGUGUGUGUGUGUGUGUGUGUGUGUGUGUGUAGGGGGGAGGUAACUUUGUGUGUGUCUAUCUCCCUGUCUGUGAGUACAGGCACAUAUACAACACAUACAAGUACAUGUCAGAGGAUGACCUGGCUUAGCCCCGCCUAGUUCUUGCGUUUUAUCUCACAUUACCUGUUGUUCAUUAAGCUUCAACCAUACCAGCUUUCUUUAGUCUAAACAUCCCUAGCUAAUUUCACCUUGGGACUCCAGACCUUGUGGCUUCCUCUUCCAGAAUUAAGUUCUGUACUUCUUGUGUAUGGCUGGCUCUUCUUGCUGCGUGACCCUCAGCUCAGAUGUCUGCUUCCAGAGAAAUUGUUUCCAGCCACUAGACGAGAGCCUUCCGACCACCCAUAAUGGCACACCUCCUCUAUUUUCCUCAGUACAAUUAUCUUCUUAAACCUUCAAAUUAUUUUUUGUAAACAUAUGCUAGUGUAUGCACAGUUGCUUGAGCACAGAGGUCAGAGGUCAGCUCAGGCUGUCUUGCCUUAGGAUACUGUGCUUUAUAAAAAUCUUGGUUUGUUUGUUUGUUUUGUUGUUUCUUUUUGGAAAUGCAACCUUUCACUUUUACCUGGAACGUUCUAGUGUGUCUGGUCAAGUAAGACAAAGGGAUCUUGUCUCCCCGCCUGCUUUUGGAUGUGGGUCCUCAGACUUGCACGGCAAGCACUUCACUGACCAAGCAUCUCCCCAGACCAUUGCUAUUUGCCCACGGGAAGACCAAGCUCUCCAGAUGGAGGACCAUACUGUCUUAUUCUUUCCACUGUCUCCAGCACUUAUAACAGCAGCGCAUAGUAGGUGAUCAGUCAGUAUCUGGUUCUUAGACAAUCGAGCAAGUAAGUGACCCUUCUUCACCCUGACUCUUCCUUCUGUUAUGUGGCACAGGUGCAUUCCCAAAUAGAAAAUGCUGUGCAGACAGCUGUAGUCUCUCAACUUGACAGUGGUGGACACACCACAAAAAACAUUCAUGCUCUGCAUACUCAGGGUCUCAGGGGUUAACAUAGUGAAAGUCACACACUCUGCUCUAACCCAAAUCUAUUCCUAAGAGAUGGCUGUCAAUAGUUUCUUUGAUGGAAACUUUUAAAAAAAUCAUUUAAAAAGAGUUGUUAAUGAAUAUACCAAGCAUAGAAUUCCCCGUGGCAUGUUGAUAUGUUCUUAGUUGAUCUUUACUUAUCCUUAUCACUCUUUCUCAUGUCCUGUUUCCUUCCCACUAGCACAUUCUGUUCCUGGAAUUGCCUGCCCCCUCUCUCCUCUCCCUCUCUUCCUCUUCUCCCUCUCUCCCUCCUUCCCUCCCUCCUUCCCUUUUCUCUUCACUUUAUUUCUUUCACAAUUAUUUAUUUUAAUUUUUAUGUGUAUGCAUGCACUAUGUACGUGCGGUGCCCAUGGAGGCCAGAAGAGAGCACCAGAAGUCUUGGGUGGCCAGGAGUCAUCCUGUGGGUGGUAGCCACCGAACCUAGGGGCUCUGUAAGUGCUCUUAACCACUGACCCAUUUUCUCUGCCCCGCCCCUACCACUUUCCUGCCAUAUGUUCUAUUAGCCUCUCCAUUCCCCUCCCUUAAAGCCCCCCCUCCCCCGCCUCAUAUGGUCCUAGUCCCCUUGUCUAGUUUCCUGAUCUCUACCUGCACUCACUACCGCUCAAGUAUGCAUACAUAAAUAUUAAAACCUAGAAUCUGUGUAUGAGAGAAAACAUGUCUCCUGGGUUAUCUUGGUCAAAAUAGUUUUUAGUUCCCUCCAUUCUUCAUUGUUGACUGUGUUUUUUCCCUUUACAAACAUCUGUACAUCCAUCUCACAUCUGUCUCUCUGUCCAUUAGAUGAGAUGGACGAUCCCAUAUAAGAAGCCUAACUCGUACGGAAGAGCAUUUAUCUCCCCACAGAUCUGUGCCUCGACCCUGGCCCUCUUCACCUGGUCUUUCGCCUUUUCUCAUCUAGGACAAAGGUAACAGGAAAUACAGCGUUGCAGCUGCAAUUGCUGAGCCGUUAGGGCAUCGCUGGAUCUGAGGAGGGGACAGAAGAACCUCAAUUUGUGUUAAGUUGGUCGGAAGGCCAAGAGGCCUGGGGCUUGUGGUUGGUGUCUAGGGGGAUGAAGCCCUUGGCCUGUGAACUCUGAGUAGCAGCAGAGUCAGUGUUGGGGUAGAGCUGAGUCAUAUGGUAUGAGAGACAACCUCCCGGCCCGACAGCUGGGGCAAACAUAUGCAUUGGAUAUUAGAACUGUGAUUAAGUUUUGCUAAAAAAAUAAUAAUUCUCUUUCCAAAAUAUCAUUCUAAAAGUCCAGCCACCCUCUUCAAUUUUAUGCAAACUGUAACAUUUCAUCUUUUUUUUGUUUUUGGAAUUGCGUUAUGGCUAAUUUUUCUUCUAGACUUUCUACCUUUUCCAAGGUGAGCUUUCUCUCUCUCUCUCUCUCUCUCUCUCCUUUUUCAAUGAGAAAGAAAAAAAACCCAAAUAUGUUUAAAAGGUAACAUUCCCCCUGGGUUCUAGUAGGAGAAAAAUCUUCAAAGGCAUUUCCGCUACCUAUCUCAUUGCUGUAAGAACACACCCCUCAGGAGCAGCUUCAGAAAGGUAGGAUUUAUGUAGUCCAGAAGGCAUCAAGGCAGGAGCAUGACCACUGGUCACUCUGCAUCUGUAUUCAGGAAGCAGAGAGCAACCAAUAUUGGUACUCAGCCAACUUCCUUCUUUAUUUCCUUUGGGACUCCAGGCUACAGAAUGGAACUCGCCACAGUUAGGGUGAGUCUCCUCACGUCAACCCAAUCUAGACACUGCCCCCCUCUCCCAGCCGCCACAGCGAUGCCUAGAGAGUUGUCUGCUAGAUGAUUCUAGAGGCAAUCAAGUUGACAAUCAAGAUUAAUGCCCUACAUUUCAUUAUAUGAGCUAGACAUGGAAGAGAGGAAACAAGGGCACGGACUGCCCAACAGUCCCAGUCCAAACGAGGACUAUUUGACAUUCCUGGAUAUGUGCAGGUACCACAGCAUCCUGCUUAUUACCCCAACUUCUUCUGAUGCUCAGUUCCAUUCCCAACCUCUCCUCUCCCACUUUAUCCCACCCUCCUAUCUACAGCUAGUGUUGGUUCAACUAAGUGAUUUACACUGUCCUUCUCCCAAUUUUCACUGGAACAUUGUCGAGGACUCUGGGUCU